rnacentral:rRNA from 1 species
UACGUAGGUCCCGAGCGUUGUCCGGAUUUAUUGGGCGUAAAGCGAGCGCAGGUGGUUUAUUAAGUCUGGUGUAAAAGGCAGUGGCUCAACCAUUGUAUGCAUUGGAAACUGAUAGACUUGAGUGCAGGAGAGGAGAGUGGAAUUCCAUGUGUAGCGGUGAAAUGCAUAGAUAUCACGCAGAACUCCGAUUGCGAAGGCAGCAUACCGGCGCCCUACUGACGCUGAGGCACGAAAGCGUGGGUAUCGAACAGG